UCCACCCCAUCGGGGUUCGGCCCGAGCCACGACAGCGCACGAUGGGGCCACACAGAGGACAUCACCAUUGAGGUCCUCAACCAGACCAGUGUCAGGUGCAGUAAUAGUUGGAGCUCGUGUGACAGAGACACGGGCUUUAUCCCGUCACUCCCCUCGUCAGGACUGAAGAGGAGACGAGACACUGAGUUGAUCUCCUCAUCGCUGCCUCCGGUACAUUGUGUGUCUGACUGGGGGUGUGAGGGCCCAAACCUGUGGAAGAAGACAAAGGUAUCUCCUGGUCACUACGCCGCAGCUACGACCUACUGCCCGGAGCACCCGCACCACCAUUACAACCUGAAACCAGACGUCCCCCGGUUCCUCCUGAGCGCGUCGGUGGAGAUCAGCAACGUUUUGCCCGUGCUGAGCUGCGUGGACUGCGAGGUGAACGCUCCUCUGUGCAAACGGUCCCGUCUACUGCAAGGCCCAGAACUGCUCCGUGUCCUCGACCAGACCAGUGUCUCUGUCUUGACCCUGCCUCAGACCCUCGGGCGAACCUAAGGACGUAAGGAAUUCCAACCCCCCACCCCACACAGAAACAAGACUUGAGGUCCAUCUCGUUGUCCUCCCGCCUUCCUUCCUGGCUGGCGGUCGCUGGCUCACAUGCCCCGAGCUCCCCGUGUGCCGUGUCCCAUCACGUCCUUUCCUAAAACUAUCUCAUCCGUGCUUGAAGGACUCAACGUCUCCAGCUUCGACCGUCUGUCUCUCCAGGGAGCCUACUAUUCGCGUUCCCCCCUCCCCUCCACCCCCACAC